rnacentral:rRNA from 1 species
GAUGAACGCUGGCGGCGUGCCUAAUACAUGCAAGUCGAGCGAACAGACGAGGAGCUUGCUCCUCUGACGUUAGCGGCGGACGUGUGAGUAACACGUGGAUAACCUACCUAUAAGACUGGGAUAACUUCGGGAAACCGGAGCUAAUACCGGAUAAUAUAUUGAACCGCAUGGUUCAAUAGUGAAAGACGGUUUUGCUGUCACUUAUAGAUGGAUCCGCGCCGCAUUAGCUAGUUGGUAAGGUAACGGCUUACCAAGGCAACGAUGCGUAGCCGACCUGAGAGGGUGAUCGGCCACACUGGAACUGAGACACGGUCCAGACUCCUACGGGAGGCCGCAGUAGGGAACCGUCCGGAAUGCGCGAACGCCUGACGGAGCAACGCCGCGUGAGAGAUGAAGGUCUUCGGAUCGUAAAACCCUGUUAUUAGGGAAGAACAAAUGUGUAAGUAACUAUGCACGUCUUAACGGUACCUAAUCAGAAAGCCACGGCUAACUACGUG